UGGCAAACCUCCCAGGAGGCUGGGAAUAAGUGUCACAGAUGGGGAAGCAGAUUCUUGUAGAUUAAAAUGUUUUUCUGAGGUCGUCUGGUAAAACUGUGGUGGAGCUAAGACUGAUGUAGGAUUUCUGGAAUCCUAAACUUAAAGGGCAGAAUCACUGGUGCUGAAGAAGAUGUGCUUGAACUGAUGUUGAGAACAAAUCGGUGUUCUGUAGUUUAACUUCUUAUCAAAGGUCCAUGCUGUAAGGCAGUCUGCGUUGGAGGACAAUAUCUGAAGCAAACAUUCCACAGUGAAUAUUUUCAGAGGUUUGGACGUACUCCUUGAAAGACAGCAGUGGUUGCUCCAAGGCCUUCCACCCUCUGCACUGGAACUGCUCUACACACACAAUGAGGUCCAGAAACAUGGGGUUAGUUGAACGUGUUGGUUCCCAUAUGUCCACAACAUGGAGGGACCCACUGUCUGUCAUAUCUAUGACUCUGGAGAGCUUGUAUUAAUUAAGCACCUCUUCAUUACAGACACAAGAUUUUACUCUAAGGUCACUCUGAAGCUCCAGCAGCCACUCAAGUUUCCAUUCAGGCAGCCCUGUCUAUUGUUUCCCAUUGCUAUUUCAUCUCCAGUCCUGCCCAUGGGGUGAUGAGCAAGUGAUGGGAAGGAGGUGGGCAGCAGCAGCUCUGACAGAGCUGGACUUUCAUGUUGUUCCUCUGUAUUUGAUGGAGAACAGUCCAUCUCCCCUGCACAGUGAGGGAUGCACAAAGUGUCUGUAUUUGGAGGGAAAGGACGAAUUGUGCUGAUAUUGCCAACUGGCUCAUCACAUGUGAUUGGGAGGCUCUGAUGUAGUCAUUCUUUUCUACCACCCUCACUGACUCAGAUCUCCUGCUUGUCUCUGAUGGGACUGAGCCGUCUUGGCUCACUGUAUCCUGGGAACCAUCUGCAGGCCUGAAUCUCCUCUUCUUUUAUUAGUACUUCAGCACCUCCAUGGCAUUGUCCAUGUUAUGACAGAGCACUGGCUCAAAAUCUGAAGAAAUUCCUCUGUUUCAUUUAUCACCUCUCAGCAUGGCUAGACAAAUUGCUUCUUGUGGCACCCAUUGGGAUACAAGAAGGGAAAAAAUAGUGGUGCCAACACCCCCUUUUUCAGUUAUACAAAGAAGGAUUAAAACACUGCCUUAUCAACUUUUUCAUUUUUUAACUGUGGAAAUGUUGUAUUUCUUUUUUCCUCAGAGAAAAUGACUCCUUCCUUUUGACAUGGGAUUUUUUUGCAAGUUUACACAUUUCUUUUUGGCCUUACCACACUGUUCAUUUGUGCUCAUUGUGUAUUAAUGAAAAAUCUGAGAAGAUAAAAAUGAGUAUUAUUUGAAACAUUAAGAUUCUCCUGUUCAAAAGAGCCCUUCAUUUUGAAUUUUCCAGCUUUUCUUAUUUUUUAAAACACUCAAGAAUGACACAAGUUAGCCUACUGCAGAACAGAUAAAGUAUUUCUUCGAUACAAAGUGUGUUUUCCCACAUUUUGCAAAGAAACCGUCAGGUGGGUCUCUUUCUUCUUUCCUGUACUGUUUUUCUGUUUCUCAGAACCUCCGGGAAAUAAAAUCCCCAGUUUCCCAGAGCCUUUGCCACUGACACACACGUUUGCUGGACUGCAGUGCCUUUCAAGAUCUAUCUGAAAACUGCCUCUGUUUUGAACACUUGGUGGAUGCACUCCAGCCAACAUUAUGGCUUCUUGCCCAUCUCUCCCACCCCAGCCCCUUCAUCUGGCUUCUUCUUUGCUGUUGUUGCCACUCUGAAAGGGAGCUGCCCAAACGGCAGAUUUUCUGUCCUUUCUCCACAUCGCUUUGCUUGGAGCUAUGCUCUGUCAGGGUUGCUGCUGGCUAGAGUUCCCAGUCCCUUUGGUUUCACGUCUUUACCCCCCCACACAAUGGAAGGUGGAAAGUAUCUUGUAUUAUGUUCAGUAGGGUGGGGGG